AACCUUUUUUCUGAGGUGUGGCUCGCACCUGUCCAACUAAACUUGAGCUACCCUUUACAACACGGUUGCAUCGGUCGGGAAGCGUGGGCGCCUGUCGGAACUGUCCAACAGUGCCGACGGACGCGGACGCGCCCCCGACGCUUUACACACACACUUUUGAUGAUAUAGGAUUUGAAUGAAAGUUCAUUUUUUAUGAUGGAACCGACUGGUAAUGCGGUCGUCUAAAUCUAAGAAACAACUUUUGGCAACGGAUCUCUUGGUUCUCCCAUCGAUGAAGAACGCAGCGAAUUGCGAUAAGUAAUGUGAAUUGCAGAAGUGAAUCAUCGAAUCUUUGAACGCACCUUGCGCUCCCGGCAGAUCUAAUGUGGGGAGCAUGCCUGUUUGAGGGCCGCGAAUUGUUUCGAGCGCCCGCUUUUUUCUUUUGCAAAGGAGCGGACGGAUCGGUAGUGAGGGUCUUUGCCAUUUACCGUGGCUCCCUCGAAAUGCAUUAGCGCAUCCAUGUGAUAGGCGAAGACGGACGAAAGCUCGCAUCUUUCGCUCUUCUCUUCCCUGCCGGGUUUUGAUAAUAUCAGGACUUCGGAGGCGAAGGAAGGCGGCCAGAGCUGGACGCGACGUUUUCGCUGGUUGGAGUGCUUCUAAACCCGCCCCCCCUGUGAAAACGAGGGAGGGAAUAUUUCAAUUCAUCGGCCUCAGAUCGGUA
rnacentral:rRNA from 1 species